CCUACGGGUGGCUGCAGUGAGGAAUAUUGGUCAAUGGACGAGAGUCUGAACCAGCCAAGUAGCGUGAAGGAUGACUGCCCUAUGGGUUGUAAACUUCUUUUAUAUGGGAAUAAAACGUUCCACGUGUGGGAUUUUGUAUGUACCAUAUGAAUAAGGAUCGGCUAACUCCGUGCCAGCAGCCGCGGUAAUACGGAGGAUCCGAGCGUUAUCCGGAUUUAUUGGGUUUAAAGGGAGCGUAGGUGGAUUGUUAAGUCAGUUGUGAAAGUUUGUGGCUCAACCGUAAAAUUGCAGUUGAAACUGGCAGUCUUGAGUACAGUAGAGGUGGGCGGAAUUCGUGGUGUAGCGGUGAAAUGCUUAGAUAUCACGAAGAACUCCGAUUGCGAAGGCAGUUCACUGGACUGCAACUGACACUGAGGCUCGAAAGUGUGGGUAUCAAACAGGAUUAGAUACCCUUGUAGUC
rnacentral:rRNA from 1 species